UACGUAGGGGGCUAGCGUUGUCCGGAAUCAUUGGGCGUAAAGCGCGUGUAGGCGGUUCGGUAAGUCCGCUGUGAAAGUCGGGGGCUCAACCCUCGGAUGCCGGUGGAUACUGUCGGACUAGAGUACGGAAGAGGCGAGUGGAAUUCCUGGUGGUAGCGGUGAAAUGCGCAGAGUAUCAGGAGGAACGACCGGUGGCGAAGGCGGACAUCCUGGACCGGCAUUGACGCUGGAGGAGCGAAAGCGUAGGGAGCAAACGGG
rnacentral:rRNA from 1 species